rnacentral:rRNA from 1 species
ACUUUUCGUUGUAGCAAUACGAUGGAAAGUUUAGUGGCGAACGGGUGCUUAACACGUGGGCAACCUGCCAUGAAGUGGGGGAUAGCUCGCCGAAAGGCGAAUUAAUACCGCAUGUGAUUAGAGAGGACAUCCUUUCAAAAUUAAAGUCGGGGCAACCUGACGCUUCUUGUGGGGCCCGCGGCCUAUCAGCUAGUUGGUGAGGUAACGGCUCACCAAGGCUUUGACGGGUAGCUGGUCUGAGAGGACGACCAGCCACACUGGGACUGAGACACGGCCCAGACACCUACGGGUGGCAGCAGUCGAGAAUUUUUGACAAUGGGGGAAACCCUGAUCGAGCGACGCCGCGUGGAGGAUGAAGGUCUUCGGAUUGUAAACUCCUGUCAUUUGGGAACAAGGUGCACACGUUAACUGCGUGAGUAUUGAUAGUACCAGAAGAGGAAGAGACGGCUAACUCUGUGCCAGCAGCCGCGGUAAUACAGAGGUCUCAAGCGUUGUUCGGAUUCAUUGGGCGUAAAGGGUGCGUAGGCGGCGCGGUAAGUCGGGUGUGAAAUCUCGGAGCUUAACUCCGAAACUGCAUUCGAUACUGCCGUGCUUGAGGACUGGAGAGGAGACUGGAAUUUACGGUGUAGCGGUGAAAUGCGUAGAUAUCGUAAGGAAGACCAGUGGCGAAGGCGGGUCUCUGGACAGUUCCUGACGCUGAGGCACGAAGGUCAGGGGAGCAAACGGGAUUAGAUACCCCGGUAGUCCUGACAGUAAACGGUGCACGUUUGGUGUGGGAGGAUUCGACCCCUUCUGCGCCGGAGCUAACGCGUUAAACGUG